rnacentral:rRNA from 1 species
AUGUCUCCUCCUCCUCUCCUCCCCUGCGGCCCCUCGGCCGCUCCCAGCUCCACCCAGCCCACACCUCCGGCCACCGCGGCCGCCGUCCACUCUCCAGCACCAUCGUCCGCACCAGUUGUCCCGGCCUCCUUCCACGAUCCCAUUCCAUGGCAUGUCUCCCCCACCUCCCGAGCCUUGCGCAUGGCUCUUGGAGUUGGGGACGCCAUGGGUGACGACUUCCAAGCGCAGGUCUGGCGCUGCCUCUCCAAGCACAUCAACCCGCGCCACCACGAGCCACCAUGCUUCCUCUCCGUGCAAGUUCGCCACUCCUCACUCGACAUCGAUGAGGAGCUCGUUGCCGUCCUCAUGCAAGCCUGUCUGGGUGGCAAUGCUCCUACCUUCCAGGUGACUCGCCUCCAAGACGACCUCUUCCGAAUCUCUGUCUCCGACGUGCGCAUCGUUCGCGCUCUCCUCGCCGAGCCCGUGCUCGUCGCCACGACCCACUCGAUCCAGUUUCUGCCUUUUCCUCCGCCUCAACAAACUCAUGACCCACCCACCAACAUCCAAACAACCUUGGACAUCGGCGACCGCUUUGGCCAUGCGGAUGCCUUCCUGCGCUCUCAACUCGGGUUCGUCCCCUCGCCCGUCAUCGAUUUCUCUCGCAACAUCUUCGAUCUGUUCUCCACCAAGGUCUUUUCUUCGCCACAAGACUCCUCCUCGCCCACUAGGAUAAUUUUCUUCGUCCACAAAGCUAACUUCAUGGUUGACGAACCGCUCGUCGCCGUGUUACUCUCAUUCCGUUUUGGUGGAUCUCCGCGAAGCAUUUCCAUCAUGCGCCUAUCCCACGCGGCGUUCACAGCGUCGGUAUCGUCUUACCACGUUGCGUCACUCAUGGCCGCCUGCUCGCCGAUCGUUGCUCCUCGCAUGUUCGCCACGGUCACGGUCGCGCCGCUUGCGAUGCCGGCCCCGCCCCCAUCUCCGGUGGCCUCGCCGCUCCUGCUUGCGGGUGUGCCACCUCAACCUGCUGCCGCUCCGUCACCAGCCUCUCCUCCGUGCAUGGCCUCCAUGCAUGUGGGGCCCGCAACCGCCAACGGUCGUCCGCCUCUUGGGGCUCCUGUGACCUCCCCAACACUUAGCCUCUCGCGUUCACAUGCAAAGGUACGACCGUUCCGUCCUGGGAUCUCGUUUAAUAAGCUGAUUUUUUCUAAGUACCACUGCCUUGUCACCAUGCCCACUACACGCCUCACACAUAAACCAACCACCCCUAUAUGGGUUGUCUUCCACUCUGGCUCGGUUUGCGCUAAUGAAACACUGAUUAAUAAUGCCUUAGACCACCAGUUCUCCUUUAAAUGUGUCUUCCACGCAACCACGCUUGCUCCGAACCUGUUCUUAGUGCAUGUGUUCUCGGUCUUGGUCAGAAGAGAGGUUCUCCGUUGCGCGCCACUAGAGUUUUCAAAUUUCAAAAUCCUGCUCUUUGACUCUUUUGACCAUGCAUCACAAACAGUGCGAUCAGUACCAUUGCCAACUGUGUUCGAACCGGACUCAUUUGACCCGUCCCACAACGUCCGACCUACCCACUGCACGUCCUUGCUUGGACCGCACUCGUUAACUAGAAUAAACACACAAAAUCUAUCCCCUCUGAACCCGGGGAUUCAUCUCACUGUUCUAGGCGAGGAUUCUACUGCAUCGUCCCCGGUUGACCAAAAUCCACUCGAUGGCCUGGGACACGUGGACCUCUCGGCCAGCUUGGCCUCUCCCGUCACGUCUCCCCGAAACCUUUCCAAUGAAAGAAAACAAAAACUAGGUGCGGACUGCGCCGUCCCCUCCCCCUCCCCUCCCAGCCUACCCAGUUCUUUAAACCCUAAAACGCUAGACCAUCCGCCCCCACGCCCUCUAUCCACCACUGACUGCCUGGACCCGCUGCCGUCGCCACAGCCGCCCCCCGGUCGGCUCCCGGGGCUGCUCGAUCUUGCCACCGCCUGCGCUGACCCAAAAGCAUACCCCACUGUCGCUGAUUUGCGGGACCCAUCCUCCCUCACCGCUUGCACCAACCAAUGCUUGCAUGCACACGCAUGCGCCCAUCAUCACGUCUACUCCACCUCCUGCCUCCCCUACCUCCGCCAGCCUACACACCGCCCCGUCCCCUCAGCUUCGUCCCGAGACCGCCAUGGACCAGUGCCACGCUCCUGCCACUCCUACCACCCCUGCGUGCUCUUCGGUCUCCACGCCGCUGCAGACCCCGCGCUCCUACCGGGAGGUUUUGCUCAGCUCCCCAGCUCCGGCCGCUGCAAUCGACCCCCCCAUCCUCUGGCCUCUCCGGCCUAUAAAUCAGCCCCUCCCCGGGCGGCCAGCCCCAAACACAUCCACCACAGAUAUAGCCGAAAGCAAAAACCAAGAUGCUUCCGAUGUCUCGCCAGUGACCACACCAUCUCCGACUGCCGUGAUCCCGUCCGCUGCUCUCGCUGCUGGUGCUCCGGUCAUCGGAGUUUCAGGUGCAAAGCCGUCCGCUUCCUUGCUUUCUUCCCCCUAUGCCCCCUCUCCGCGUAUUAA